rnacentral:rRNA from 1 species
UACGUAGGGUGCAAGCGUUAAUCGGAAUUACUGGGCGUAAAGCGUGCGCAGGCGGUUUUGUAAGUCUGUCGUGAAAUCCCCGGGCUCAACCUGGGAAUUGCGAUGGAGACUGCAAGGCUAGAAUCUGGCAGAGGGGGGUAGAAUUCCACGUGUAGCAGUGAAAUGCGUAGAGAUGUGGAGGAACACCGAUGGCGAAGGCACCCCCUGGGUCAAGAUUGACGCUCAUGCACGAAAGCGUGGGGAGCAACAGG